AUACCCUGGUAGUCCACGCCGUAAACGAUGUCUACUUGGAGGUUGUGCCCUUGAGGCGUGGCUUCCGGAGCUAACGCGUUAAGUAGACCGCCUGGGGAGUACGGCCGCAAGGUUAAAACUCAAAUGAAUUGACGGGGGCCCGCACAAGCGGUGGAGCAUGUGGUUUAAUUCGAUGCAACGCGAAGAACCUUACCUGGUCUUGACAUCCACAGAACUUUCCAGAGAUGGAUUGGUGCCUUCGGGAACUGUGAGACAGGUGCUGCAUGGCUGUCGUCAGCUCGUGUUGUGAAAUGUUGGGUUAAGUCCCGCAACGAGCGCAACCCUUAUCCUUUGUUGCCAGCGAUUAGGUCGGGAACUCAAAGGAGACUGCCAGUGAUAAACUGGAGGAAGGUGGGGAUGACGUCAAGUCAUCAUGGCCCUUACGACCAGGGCUACACACGUGCUACAAUGGCGCAUACAAAGAGAAGCGACCUCGCGAGAGCAAGCGGACCUCAUAAAGUGCGUCGUAGUCCGGAUUGGAGUCUGCAACUCGACUCCAUGAAGUCGGAAUCGCUAGUAAUCGUGGAUCAGAAUGCCACGGUGAAUACGUUCCCGGGCC
rnacentral:rRNA from 1 species